UUGCUGUGGAAAAGUCAUUUGAUCAAUUAUCAAGUGAAAGUCUAAACAAUGUUUUCUUAACAUUGCAAUCAUGUAUGGUAGAGGUGAUGAAAAAUCUUGGGGGAAAUAACUAUAAAGUGCCACACAUUGGGAAGCACCAUUUAAUGAAAGAAAGUUGUCUUCCACUGCAAAUAGAAUGUGAAAAAGAACUUGUGAAUCAAGUUCUAAGUCAUAUGCAAGCGUGAUUAUCUUCAUUGGACAGGUACUUAAACUUUACUAAUCAUGUGUUUUGAACAAAAUGAUGGUUGAAGUCAAGCAAUCCAACCCUUUUGAUUUUGUGGUGCAAGCUUUUGAUUGGGCAAAGAAUAUAGAAGCACUUUUAUGUACUAGUGGUUUUUCAUUGACUGCUUUUAUUUCACUUUACAAGAUUUUAGAAUAGCUCAGUAAAGUUAGCUUGACGUUAGUAGUAGUAGUGCUGAUUUUUGUACAAAAGGGAAAAUGUGCAAUGCUGAGUGAAGCUAUGUACAUGUAUAAACAUUGAAACACUACUUUUGUUGGAGUUUUUGAAACUGUCAAUAGCAUUAUUCUAUAAAGUGAAAAUAGUGCAUAUUGGUUUGCA